AAUGUUGCUUGCUGUUGAAUACCUAAGGCCAACUUUGGUAACAACAGAACACAUUUAUGGAAAAAAUAGCAUUGAAUAUGGAAAUGAGCUGCAGAAAUAUUCUGAUCUUCUUCUCAAACGCCAUUGCUCAAACAAAUCGUGAACAUCUAUGUAAUGAUCAAGAAUACAGGAAUUUAAUUGAAGAAACGCGAUCUGUCCUUGAAAAGUCUUAUCAUAUUUUCUCCAUCCAUUAUGGUCCACAUCAUGAAGCACUAAAGGAACUGAAAGAUAAGCAGAAACAGCUUGAAAUGUUUGCUGAACAGUAGUUGAAACAAAUAUUGCAUUUCAAAUCCAAAUUUCUGCAGCAUCUUGCUUGAAGCCUUGAUGCUGUUUUUGCUAUGCUCAGUAUUUUCAGCAUGCAAGAGUUUUGGUCAAAGUUAACUUUUGUUGGAUAUCAAUUAAGUGAUGUGUGAUAUGUACAGGGUGUUUAAGAGAAGUUAAAAUGAUGUCUGAUAUUAUUCAUUACUUUUUUUUUUUUUUUUUUAAUUUGCUACAAAAAUGUAUCAAACCUUGAUUUGUGAAUAACUAAAAACAUGUAAUGUUUGCUUGUUUAGUUUAUUCUUUGUAAGCACCAUGCUAUCCACAAGCUAAUCAUUGCAAUUGUUUAUUGAUCUUUUUUGGUUUGCUUCCUCAUAAACAAAUCAUUAUAGUAAUUUUUUUUCAAAAGGGUAGUUUUUCAGCCCUAAUAAAUGUUUUCACUGCAUGGGUAAAUUAGUAAUAUUAUGUGAUUCUAAUUCUUAACAAAUAGCAUAAAUUUUGGCUUUUGUGACCUGGUUCCAUCCAUAGUGGUUAAAAUAAACCACUUCUCAUUCCUGAAUAUGAAAUAAGUUUGGGUAAUAAAAUUUCUGAAAUAUUGGACUUUUGCAGUGACCAGUUGUACAGAACUGUAUAGUUUCUUAUAAGAAAUAUUAUUUGUGAUUAUUUGUAUAUGAACAGGCUAUUAUGUAAUUUAAAUAAAAUUGUAUUGAUACUUAUUUUUAUAACAGCAGGAAAGAGAAAAGCACAGCAUGGCAUUUUCUAAUGAGAAGGAAAGUCAGAUAUUCUUUAAAAUAGUUAUUCAAAUUUAUUUUAUUGUGACAUUUUAAAGAAAGGAGGUGUAAUCAUUCUUCUGAAUGUGUAGGGAUAAUUUUAGCUUUAUAUUUUGUGAACAGAUUUUUGUAUUUCCUUUUUUUAAAAACUAUAUUGAUUAAUCAAAAUUCCACAUAAAUAAGUCUGGUUUCUUUUAAUAGUUCUUUCUUUUCUUUUUCUUUCUUCCCCCCCCCUUUUUUUAAAUAUUAAUUUCCUGAUUCUAAAAUGUUAACUGUCUUACAAAUUCUUUUGUGAAAUUAUAAUAAAUGAUUUGCCAUAUUUGUGUUAAAAUGACACUGUCAGGGUGAAAUUAUCUUUUAAACAAAUUAUCUGAACAUACUAUGGAUUUUAAAUACCUCAGUUGACUUAAAAGCAUAUGUAUAUAAAGUACGGAGUACAAGUCGUAUUCUAGUUCCAACAAGAAUUUUAGUCACUCUAGUAGUAGCUGACUAAAGAAGAAAAUUUGGAAUGGUAGGGAAGCUCCUGUAUUACUACCGUGUUUGAUCAGCAGAUUCUGGUUAUCGCCUAAGCCAUCUGAUUUAGGGAAGCCCUUAAGUCAUCUUAUAAUUCCUUAUAAUACUGCUCUUGUCUUAUAAAAACAAGUAAAAUGGCCAUUAGGAACCCGAUAAAAUACUCUGCAUAGGGCAUCAGAUUGUCUUCUCUAUUAGCCAAGAUAAUACAUAUGAAUAUCUUGCCUGGCCUUUGUGUUAAUUUUUAACUUUAAAACACACCAGCAAGCAGCAUUUUUAUAAUAUUUAAAAAAAAGAUUUAACAAUAAUCCAAAAAGCAGAAUAAGCUUCUCGUGUUAAAAUUCUGUCUACUAUAUUGGUGACUGUUUUGUUUUUAUAAAUUUUCAAUCUGUGCCGCUUGCUUUGUAAGCAGAUUUUCUGUUUAUAAUUGCUUAGACAAAGUAUCAGUAUCUGUUUUAUGCCAUUCUAUCAUUUACCUUUUCCAGAAGAGUUUUACAUUAUGCAGUUCUUCCUCAUUUUCAUUUGUGCUAUUUAUUCUUUUUGAGAAUAGUAAGUAUAUUGCUCUCAUUUUGUUUCUUAAUAUUGCUACAAAUCACCAGUCCCCCAUUUUGGUAUUUUAUAUUGGUAUUUAUGUUAAAGAAUUUUCAGCCUAAUUAUAGAUUAAAAUAUAUAGAAGAAAGUUAUCCUGAAUCGAAUAAUCAAGCAUCAGAUAUUCGAACAUUGGUUUAUCUGACAUCCACUCGUUUUAAACUGCUUAAAUCAUUAUUUAAAAUAUAAACAACAAAACAUCAACAAUUUAAUCUAGAUUAUCUGAGUUAAAAUAUAAAAGCAAUGUGAAAAGCAUUAUUCAUUUGUAAUAUUUCACUAGUUUUCUGUUAACUCAGUUAUUGGUGUAUGAUCUUCACACUAUAUAAUUUAAUAGUAAUUUAGAUAGUAUAGGUAAUAAUCUAUUUUUAAGGCAUUCUGCAACAUUAUAAUCUAUUAAAUAGCUUGUCAAAAAGUUCAUUUGAAUAAUCAAAUGGUGCUAAAAGAAUAUUUCAUUUUUUAACCUCUUUCCUCUUGAUGCAGAGAGAAUGAAUUCCUAUGUAACUUUAGAGCGAUGAACUGAGUGUAUUUUGCAUUUGAGUGCAACCCUCAAAGAAAGUCCUGUAAAAUAUGACUUUUAUCAAAAUACUUGGAUCCUUGAAUAUUUAUUAUUUUUCAGUAUAAUAAAGUAUUAAUAUUUAAAAUUAAAUUUUAAAAUAAAGUGCAGCAUUAAUAAUGAUUAUAUUUACAUAUUUGAAUUACUUCCAUGCAGUAAUGAAGGGGGGAAAAUUAAGAAUUUAACUAUCCAUAUAUAUUAUAGCCUGCCAUGAUAUAUAUUUAAAUUAAGCUGCCACACUGUAUGAAACAUUUCUGAACUCUGAAUAUGCAUUGUACAUUUUACAUUGGUAGAAGAAAACAGUAAAUAAUACUCAUAAUAAAACAGUUAAAGACAUUCCAUGUAGUUAAGUUUCAGGCAUAUUGACAUAAUUUUUGUGCAUUUAAAAUGUCAAGUACCAGUUAAACUUCAUUUCUGAAUCAUAUCUGAUAAGAUGGGCUCAGGGAGGGAAGCUAAAGUGUAACAUGUGAUAUGCUGUGAGCAAAAAAGUUAUUUUGAAUGUAAUGUUAAAAUAUUUGAAACAUUUCUGAUUUAAAAAUUAUUAAAAGUAGAUUUUGACUUGAAAUGAGGGAUUUCUUUUGAAUACAGUUUUGUUGAUUUAUGCAUGUAUAAUAUAUAAUAUUAUAUAAUAUUUAUUUUAUAAGAUUUAUUCAGGUAUUAUUUAUGUGUAUUUAUUUUGAAUAAUGAUUAUUAAAUUUUUUGCUAUGUUAAUAAUGGCAUCUUCUUUGCCAAAAUAUUAGUUUCUAGUUUGUAAAAUUUAAUGCCUUCAAAAAUUGUCAAUGCUUAUCUCUAAUUCCUGUUGAAUAUUUAUUGUUCCUAUCUUACCUCCUGUCCAGUAAAUGUUGUUAAGAGAAACAUUUUAAUGUGAAGGCUUAAGACAAUUAGUUUUUUCAUUUAAUUUCUUUCAUAAUGUAUUUAAAUAUUUGUGCUAAAAUGAAACUAAUGCAAACAAUUUUGUUAAAAUCUGUUUUCAGUAUAUGAAGCCAGAUCAAAAUAUCUAUGUCUGCUCCCUUUUUCCUUUUCUUUAUGAGUAAUUAAUUACAUUUUGAUCCUAAAAAUUUCUACAUUAUCUGAAUUAAGUUUUUUCCCCCCUAUUUGCCUUUUUGUAUGUAUUAUAAGUUGUAUAUAUUUUUUAACAUAAUGUUUUAAGUUUUAUGCAAAAAUGAAUAUUGUGUUUGAUAAAUAAAAGAGAUUAGAUUCUUACAUAAAUUGUGUGUAAUUAAUAACUUUCAUUUAACACCCUGUGUGUAACAGGAUCACUUGUAUAAUAUAUAUAUAUGAUAUACAAUGCUGUAUAUAAAGGAUCUCAUGUUAUGCUGUUUAUAUUCCAUGUUUUAGAAUGAGAGCCGUAGCUUUCUCAAGCUUUAGCACAAAUAUCUGUAUAUUUUUGUACAGUUAAUAUUGGAAAAGUUUAUGAUAUGUUCUUGUAGCAGAUAUGAAGGUUCAUGAAUUGUAAUGUGAUAUAAUUGAUGCCAUUAUACUGGUGCUGACUUGCAUUUUGAAAUUGAAUUUUUGAUCAUGAGACAAUAUUAUACAAUGGUGCAUUUUUAUUUAUCAACAGUAGCAUUUAUUUGGGAAAUAAGUUAAAUAAAAAGUAUGGAUUGGCAAAAAUCCACAAAUUUACUUUUGUAUUAUGUGCAUAAUUGUUGUGUUAAUAUAUCUUCCUAUAAAGCUGUAAUUUACUGAAUUAUAUUUUGCAGUCUGGGAUAUAAGAAGUGACACAUUAUCAAAAAUAAUGUCUUGAUAUCAUUAUGUAUUCAAUUUUUAAUAUGCAAGAUCUUUUUCCUAUUUCUCAGUACAUUACAGUAUGUGAACAUUCAUCUCUGUUUUCUGGCCUUUAUAAAACUAUGUUAAUGUGAAGUGUUACUUUUCACAUCUUAAUGUUAAAGACAAUCUGAUUCUUCAUUAUAAGCAUGCUUAAUUUGUGUUCCAUCUCUAUUCUUUGAUGUUUUUUAAUAGUGUUAUAUUGAAGUGCUUGAAUCUUUUUUCAUGCAUCAUACUGCUAAUGUUUUAGUUUUGUUUUCCUAGAAUGUCCGUUAUUCCGUCCUUUUGUCCAGAUUUAAUUCACAAAUGAAAAACACAUAAUUUAAACAUGGCAUUUUAAUUUUGCAUGAGAUGUAUUGAAAAGGAUGUAAUCAAAUUUGCUAAAACCUGUAGAAUUUUAUGUUUAUAAUUUUCUCAGUAUAAUUAAAUGUUAAUGUUGUGUAGUUCUUCUGUAUGUAGCUUUAAAGGAAUGAGAUGUUUUAAUGUAUUUAUUACAAAGUAUUUUGGAAGAGGUUAAAACUGAAAAUGUUGUCGUGUGGAUUAAUUUUGUAUUAGUUUCAUAACUUACAAAAGCUGCUAAAAAUUCUUAAGAAACCGAAAUAAGUUUCCAGUUUAAUAUGAAUUUUUCACAAAUUUAAUAGGUUUCUAGAUUUCUCAAGUUCUGUUUUAUUCAGAAUUUGAUUGCAUAUUCUCUGUACCUUUGAAUAAAAAUUAAUAAUAAAUCCAAUUAUGAGUUGGAAAACAACGCGAGAAGCCAUAAAUUGCUAAAACAAAGCAGGGAAUUUUGCAUACACUUUCACUUUUUUAGAUUUGUAGCCUUAUAUGUUAUGUCUGUUUUAUUAGAAGCCUUAAUAUUUGUGUGAAAACCAUAUUUUUAUAAUUAUGUUAAUUUAUUUAUAAUUAUUAUUUUUAAAAAAAGUAUCUUUUGUCGUUAUUGCCAUUGAUUAUAUUUCAGAGAAGUUGUGCAAGAAACCAUUUCUUAAUUUCAUUUAAUCUUUGUUAUGAAUGGUGAUUAAUUUUAAAAUUAAUUCACACAAAUUAGCUUUUUAUUAUAGGUAUAUAAGGUAAAGAUUACAAAAACAAAACAAACAAAAAAUUGGCUCCAAAAUUUUAAUCCAAAUAAUGAAUCUUCAAUGAAUUUUGUUUUAAAAGAUACAUAUUUUCAAAGAAGUUUCACAAAUUAUAAACAAAAACACAUGGUGACAAACAUACAGUAUGCAACCAGGAAAACAAAACAAAAAAAAAAAAAGUAUUAAUUCUAAAGAAUAAAUUUGCAUUUCAGCAGUCAUUAAAGAAUCAAAAAUGUAAACUAUUUCUGUCAUUAUUUUUGUAAAGCUUUCACAAAAUAAAUAUAAAACUAUUUAUUUAAUAGAUUUUGAUGUUGAGAAAUUGUCCAUACAUGCAUCGUUCCAUUAAUAUUCAUAAAUUUAGUCAACAAAAUUAUUACAGGUCUUAAGCUAUGCAGCAUAUGUUUUAACAUGAUGCUUUUAAUCAAAAUGAAUUUCUAAAUUUGUGCAUUUUAAAAACAGAGGAUUUAUGCAUCUCCUUUUUUGAAUUAAUACUUCAAAUUUUUAAAUUGAGACACAUUUGCUGUUUUUCUUUCUAAAAUAAUAUAAAAAAAAAAUAAAUAAAUAAAAAAAAAAUUUUAAAAAAAAAUUUAAAAAAAAAAAAAAAAAAACAGUUUCUUUGUUUGUUAAAUGCAUAUUCUUCCCCCUACCUCUUCUAAAAUCAAAAUUUCUUUGUACUUAAGCAAAACGUGCACAUUUUUCAUGCAAAGUUUAAUACUGUGCCUUAUAAGUAAAAUGAAAUUUCUUGCAGUGUUUCAUGCUGUGAAAUGUUUUAUCAUAUUGCACCUUUACUGUGAUGCAAAUUUGCCUCCUAUUUGUGAAAAUUUCUUAGUAAUCUCUGUGUUGCUUAUUUUAAAAUUUUAUGAAUAUUUGAUAUAGUUUUUCAGUUGCGGUGAUAUUGUUAUUCAGUUGAGUGUGGAUUGCUGCAUACUUGAAGUUGUAAAGCUACUGCUUAUUGAAUUCCAACCUUUGAUCAAAUUUUCUCAUGAAAUUUUGCAUGCAUUUUAAUAUUUGUAAUGUUUUUAUAUAUUUAAAAAAUAUGUUAUAUUUUUAUCUAUGUCUGUCAGCAUGUUAAUAAUAUGGCAACAGAUCAACCGCAUUUUUUUAAAAUAUGUCUGUAUGUUCCACCAAGGUUUUAAAUUUGUAUGAAAUAGCUACAGUAAAGAAUGCAGUAAGAAAUAAAAGGCUUCAAUGAUAACUUGUUGAAACAUUUGUCUACCUGUAGUUAGUUAUGUUUGUAUUUUAUUCUUCAUGUAUACAUAAGUAUUUUGUUGUAUUCAGUUAUAUAAAUUAUGUUUGUUCUUGUUUGUUUAAAAACAUGUAUAAUUUCAGCUAGUCUUGUUUAAAUACCUGUAGUCACACCCUCAUGUACACUCACACACAAAUGUAUUAAUAUGUUUUUUUAUAUAUUAGAAGCACAUUUUUUAUGUUGUUAUUUAUUUAUAAAAAUUAGCUUAGCUGGUGUCAUCCUUGCCAAGAGUUAAAUUAAUAUACUUUUAACAGUUUUAUGUUUUAAAACAUUUAAAUGUAUAUUAAGUACAUUUCUAAAAGGUGGUAUAGCUUUUGAUUAACAUUAUAAGUUACAUAUUGCUUAAUUUCCAUACGUGUCCUAUUAAUUAUUUUGAUGAGGCCUUUAAUGACAUUUUGAUUAGAACUCUUGAUAAAAAAAAUUUAUAAAUGGAGAAUAUUAAUUUAUAUAGCAUCUAAUUCUAUUAUUAAGCCAUGAAUAACUUUUAUGAGUUUUCAUAGAAAUGCUGCAGCAAUGAAUUUUAUUAUGUUAAUUUAUGUAUAUUUUAGCUCCACUUAAAAUUAAUCUCACUACUAACUAGCAGUUUGCUAUAUUUAUUGUAAAUAUUAUGCUAAUGAACAAAACUUUAGAGCACGUCUGUCAAAUCUGUAGUUAAAUCUCUUUGAAUUAAAAUAUAAUAUAGGAAAUUAUAUUAAAUAGUUUAGACAUUCUCAUAAGCUUAGACCUUUCCACAGAAAUAAAGAAAAUUAAGUAAAUUCGGAGUUUUAGAAUAAUUUCUAUUUGUGCUUAGCUUAUUUCUUCAAAUUUUCUCUAUAAUGAUAUUUAGAAUUUCGAAUGAGAAUCUUAGUAUAGAAAACUGAAAUUUAUGAGGUUGCUGCUGCCUGAAUUUGCUAAAUUUCGUUUUCUUUUUAAUUCUAGUUUUAAAACACUUUUUGUUCUGAGUAAAAACUUUUAUUUUGGAUUUUGUGCAAUAGGUAAGUUUACAUGAACUUUAAAAUGUUUGUUUGUGUAUUUGUAAAGCUGUUUUAUCAACAUUUGUAAAUAGUGUAUUUAAUAAUAUGUUUAAAAGAGGAAUUUAUAUUUUAUGAAAAAAGAAUGUAAAAUAUAAAGAACUUUCAUAUGAAAACUAUAUGGUAUAACUACAAACUGUGAUGAAUUGUAUAGUAUCAGAAUGAAGGCAGUGUAAGAUCAGUAAAUGGAUAUUCUUUUUGGAUUAUAAUAAUAUUAUUUUGGAACUUGAGGAUGUUUAUUUCAAUCCAUAUAUUGUGAAACAGAGCUCAUAAUUUUAUGAAAUUGAAUAAACUAAUAUUUAGUAUAUAAUAUGCACUUCUUAAAAGCAGAAACCUUCAGAAUUGAAAUUUUUAAAUUUGUUAUUUUUAUAAUAGUUUAUUUACAAUGUUCGUAAAUGCUGAAUUUAAUUAUAAAAUUUGAUCAGUAAUCAAUAUAUUUUUUUUUUUUUUUUUUUUUUUUUUUUUUUUUUUUUUUUUUUUAAUUCUGAAAAUUUAAGCAUCUCCUUUCUUUACAGAAGGGAGAAAUUUUUUUUAAUGUAAUCAAAUAAUGAUAGCAUCAAUUUCAUAUUAUGUAUAAAAAAUUUUCAUUUAUAGCUUUCAGAUUUGAUUUAUUUUCAAAGAAGAUGGAUCUCUUUUAAACAAAUUAUGUCCUUGAUUCUUGUAACUGAAAACUGAAAUUACUUUUUCAGUACAGUUGUAGUUUUUCCUUCAAAGUUGUGCUAAGUAAGAAUUAUUCACAAAUUCACGUGCAUUACAUUCCUUGAAUUUUACUAGCAUUGCAUUCUUCCCUAUCUGUUAGUUGUAACUUAUAUACCUCCUCAUAGGUUAAGAUUAAUUUGACAUCAUCCAUAAAUUAUUUUCUCUGAAUAAGUAGUAAUUUGACCUAUAUAUGAUUUUAUGUGUAAGGUAUGAAUCUUUUCAAAGGUUGCUAUAGACUGUAUUCUUUGCUCUUAAUCUUUAAAUAUUCCAGCUUUCUGCGAGUAUGCAGUACAUUUAUGUGAAAGGAUUAUCGCACAUUUGUAAAUAGUCUCUACUGUUCUCAUUCUCUCUUAUCCAAGUAAAUCACAAGAUUGUAUCAGUCGCUUUUUAUUGAAUUUCCAAGAUUGUAAUUAACAUCCACUGCUCAAAUAAAAUUGAUCAACAGAUAA